UAAAUACUCCCUCCGUUCGGAAUUACUUGUCUCGAAAAUGGAUGUAUCUAGAACUAAAAUAUGUCUAGAUACAUCCAUUUCUGCGACAAGUAAUUCCGAACGGAGGGAGUAUAAG
rnacentral:pre_miRNA from 1 species